CGUGUCUCUUCUUUUCCUUUUUACUUUUGCAUUCGGUUGUUUGUUGAUUUUUAUUUUCCCUACCUCUUUCCUUCAUCGUCUCCUUCUGUUUCUCUGCACUACUUGCUCUUUCUUUCCCAGGGGGGCUGACCCGGUGCUUCGUCUUCUUCUGUUAUCUCUGUUGGUCGCCGGCGAAAAUGUAGGCGUUUCGAUGGCCUCUCUGUUCUUCCGGAGUAUGUUGACUCUGGCGACUCUACCUGGGUUUAAAGUCUCGGAUUAUUCAAAGCUGUCUGCAGAGGGAACUAUCACUUAAUGCAUCAACCAUUGCUUGAUUCAGGUUUCGAAACCAAAUAGUUUUAGGGAUCAUUUCAAACACCUUAAUGUGAUUCGUUUUCUUUUCUGGGAUAAUUAGGAUUUGAUCAGGGAUUCACUCAACGGAUGCUGAUACUUACCAUGAAGAAGGGGAAAAGAGGUAUUGAGAAAAAACCCGUGUGGCAGGGGAAAAGAGGUAUUGAGAAAAAACCCUUUCAACUUCCUGACUUCAUUGCAGCCACUGGGAUUGAGAAAAUUAGACAAGUGGCCCCAACAACAUGGGAUUGGAUAUAUGCUUAUGAACAUCUUUUGGGGGCUUGGAAUCGGUGGCUUCACAAUGCCAAACAAUUCAAAUGCUGGCACAACUACAAGAAAUGAGAUUCUUUGACACACGUGAGAAUCGUCAAGCACUGACAGCCACUGCAGGUAAUGUUCAUGCUGCAUCUGAGAGUCUAUUUGGAAUUUUUGGUUAAUGUCAGAUAUGGAAUACUGAUUAUGUAAUUGAUGUCUUUUAGUUUAUCAUUUAAAUGUAAUGUCACAUUUUAGUGUAUGAUUUAUAUGUGUGUUUUUCCCUAGAAGAAGAAGAGCAAUGUAUUUGCAAACUUGCAGGUAAGGCAUUACAUGCAAUUGUUCUUCCUUUCAUUGUCUGCAAUUGUGUCCGUUUGUAUCUUUCUAUAUUUGUUUUUUUUGUGGGACAUCUUUUUUCCAUGAGCAUUCGUAAUAUUUUGAGUACACAUAUUUCCCUUUUUGUUGAUCGUAAUUGUUGAGGUUGGUCAUGCAGUUUUUAAGGUGCCUUUUAUUUUUGAAGAUACACAUCUUGGUAGUUAAUAGUAACGGAAAAAAUUGUCGCUUCCGACACCCGCCCAAUACCAUAAAGCCAUCCACUAGCUGCCAUCACCACCACCACCACCGCCAAAAUUAUAUAAAUGGUCCAUAUGGUUUACCCGUCGUCACAAAUUCAGUCCCUACUACCUUAAAAGACCAAAUUACCCUCACAUUAACGGACAAAAAACAACGGUCUAUAUUUUCCGAAUUGGUUUUCCGGCCGCUGCCAUACAUGGCAAUAAAGUUCAAUUUGUGAGACUGUUUCUUUAUUUUCCUCAUUUAUUGCAAGAAAUAAUGAUUUAGAUUUCUUUACUUAUGUAAUUAGAUGGCAUUGUUUAUCUUUCUUUACUAGAUUAUCUCAAUGUAAUUCAACAUGCUACUUUACUUUACAAAGCAAUACCUUCAGACCACGGCAACGCCGGAGAA